AGAGUUUGAUCCUGGCUCAGGACGAACGCUGGCGGCGUGCCUAACACAUGCAAGUCGAGCGAUGAAACUCUAACUGAUUCCUUUCGGGAUGACGACUGAGUGGAUUAGCGGCGGACGGGUGAGUAACGCGUGAGUAACCUGCCUAGUACAAAGGGAUAGCCUCGGGAAACCGGGAUUAAUACCAUAUGACACUAGCCUACCGCAUGGUAGAUUAGUUAAAGCGAUUAAGUGGUACUAGAUGGACUCGCGUCUGAUUAGCUAGUUGGUGAGAUAAAAGCUCACCAAGGCGACGAUCAGUAACCGGCUUGAGAGAGCGAACGGUCACAUUGGAACUGAGACACGGUCCAAACUCCUACGGGAGGCAGCAGUGGGGAAUAUUGCACAAUGGAGGAAACUCUGAUGCAGCGACGCCGCGUGAGUGAUGAAGGUCUUCGGAUCGUAAAACUCUGUCCUUUGGGAAGAUAAUGACAGUACCAUUGGAGGAAGCCCCGGCUAACUACGUGCCAGCAGCCGCGGUAAUACGUAGGGGGCGAGCGUUGUCCGGAAUUAUUGGGCGUAAAGGGUACGUAGGCGGUUUAGAAAGUCAGAUGUUAAAGCGUGAGGCUCAACCUCAUAAAGCAUUUGAAACUUCUAGACUUGAGUAGUGGAGAGGAAAGUGGAAUUCCUAGUGUAGCGGUGAAAUGCGUAGAUAUUAGGAAGAAUACCAGUGGCGAAGGCGACUUUCUGGACACAAACUGACGCUGAGGUACGAAAGCGUGGGGAGCAAACAGGAUUAGAUACCCUGGUAGUCCACGCUGUAAACGAUGAAUGUUAGGUGUCGGGUGUCAAAGCUCGGUGCCGCAGUUAACGCAUUAAACAUUCCGCCUGGGGAGUACGAUGGCAACAUUGAAACUCAAAUGAAUUGACGG
rnacentral:rRNA from 1 species